rnacentral:tRNA from 2 species
GGACAGGUGGCCGAGUGGCUGAAGGCACCGGUCUCGAAAACCGGAGAACGGGCAACCGUUUCGUGAGUUCGAAUCUCACCCUGUCCG